UACAGAGGUCUCAAGCGUUGUUCGGAAUUACUGGGCGUAAAGGGUGCGCAGGCCGCGCGGACAGUCAAAUGUGAAAUUCAGGGCUCAACCCUGCAUUGCGCUUGAUACUUCCGCGCUCGAGCCUUGGAAAGGAGUCUGGAAUUCUCGGUGUAGCAGUGAAUGCGUAGAUAUCGAGAGGAACACUAAGGCGAAGGCAGACUCUGGACAAGAUGCUGACGCUCAUGCACGAAGGCUAGGUAGCGAACGG
rnacentral:rRNA from 1 species